UGGCCACCUCUAUCCAUACUCUCAUUUUCUGGUCUAAAUUGUAUGUUAUCACUACAGAAUCCUAGAGCUGAGGUAAGGAUUCAGUUUAGUGGGGAGAAUGCUUGCCUAGCAUGCAGGAAUCCCGGAGUUCACUCUGCGUCCCUACAUAAUGUGGUGGUGCACGCAAGUAGCACACGUGGUGCUUAUCACUUGGGAAGUGAAGGCAGGAAGAUCGAAGAUUCAAGGAGGGGUUGCAGACAAGGAAUGAGUCCCGUACUCAGGUGACUUCUUGUGAACCAAUCCCCUAAGGAAUAAAGAAGCCAAUCACUGGGUGAGUAGGCGGGACUUCUGGGUUGGAUGGAGGAAGAGAGGAAGCAGGAGAGAGUUAGGUCUUUUUUGGACGGGGAUAGCGUGAGGACAAGAUUUAAUUAUGAGUGGCUCCUGGUUUCAAUGGUGGAUCUGUCAGGAUUCGCCACAGGAGGAUUUAGAUUUAAUAAGACUUACAGAUUAGAAUUUUAGUUGAUGCACUCAGUGAUUGAGUUUAUGUUGUUUCUGAACUAAGCUUGUGUUGUGUUUUCCUUCACACAGCAGCUUGUCGGGGUUCAAGAGAGAAAGAUACGGUUGGCAAAGCAUGGAUUUGCCUGAGGUGCACCACAAAGAACUCUCAGCUACUUUUCCAUCAACAUGUUUGCCUGUGUGUGACCAUACUUCCUGCCAUGAUGAAAAUUGACUAAAUUUCUAAAACUGCAAGUUUCAAAACAUGGAAAAGAAGACAUAAAUGCACAAAGGCAUCUCACAAAACUGUCACAUAAUAUAAAAACACCAGAACUGAGCUGUUAAAACCAUGGCUCAGGAUUCAUCCAUGUAUCUCAGCAACACAUUCAGUGCCUUAAGGUGAUCCAACUCCUUUUCCGACCUCUGUGGGCUCCUGUAUGCAUAUUCUUAGGCACUGUGCUGUGCUGUGAGUUUUCUGUUAACUCAAAACAAGCUGGAGUCAUUUCGAAAGAGGAAACUGAAAUUAAGAACAUUCUGCAAUCAGAUUAACCCAUGAGCAAGCCACUAAGCAACACUCCUCCAUGAUCUUUGCAUCAGCUCCUGCCUCAAGGUUCCUGCCCAGUUUGAGUUCCUUCCCUGACUUUCCUCAGUGAUGGACUGAUGUGGAACUAAAAGCUGAAACAAACCAUUUCCUGCCCAAGUUGGGUAUUGUUUUAUCACAGACUAGAAACACACACACAAACCACACAUGCACAUGAAAUAAAAUAAAAUAAAAUAAAUAUUACCAUCCA
rnacentral:lncRNA from 1 species